CCUACGGGUGGCAGCAGUGGGGGAUAUUGCACAAUGGGGGGAACCCUGAUGCAGCGACGCCGCGUGUGGGAAGACGGUCCUCUGGAUUGUAAACCACUGUCCCCAGGGACGAAGAUGACGGUACCUGGGGAGGAAGCUCCGCCUAACUACGUGCCAGCAGCCGCGGUAAUACGUAGGGCGCGAGCGUUGUCCGGAAUUACUGGGUGAAAAGGGAGCGUAGGCGGGGAUGCAAGGUGGGGGUCAAAACUACCGGCUCAACUGGUAGUCGCACUCAAAACUGCAGCUCUUGAGUGAAGUAGAGGCAGGCGGAAUUCCUAGUGUAGCGGUGAAAUGCGUAGAUAUUAGGAGGAACACCAGUGGCGAAGGCGGCCUGCUGGGCUUUUACUGACGCUGAGGCUCGAAAGUGUGGGGAGCAAACAGGAUUAGAUACCCUUGUAGUC
rnacentral:rRNA from 1 species